UUCAAUUUACCUUUUUAAUAAAGAAAAUACUAAAAAACUCAAUUUAUGGAGUUGUGUAGUAUAGUUGAUUAGGGGGCAAAGAAAUAUGCAGACGUUAUCGGUAGAGUUAAAGAACGCACCUACGGAUGCUUCUCAAGUCCGCUGCUCUGUAAAUCCGGCAUUAAACAGAGGGGAAACUCUCAGUAUGGGUGAUAUAUUACUGACUGAUAACAACCUCAAAGAGAACCAAC
rfam:Candidatus Altiarchaeales archaeon A3 Ga0073111_1110, whole genome shotgun sequence.